CCUGCCCAUAAGUGGGGAAUAACAGUUGGAAACGACUGCUAAUACCGCAUAAGCUGAGCAAUCAGUAAAGGAGGCUAACGCUUCCGCUUAUGGAUGGGCCCGCGUCUGAUUAGCUAGUUGGUGGGGUAAUGGCCUACCAAGGCAACGAUCAGUAGCCGGCCUGAGAGGGUGGACGGCCACACUGGGACUGAGACACGGCCCAAACUCCUACGGGAGGCAGCAGUGGGGAAUAUUGCGCAAUGGGGGAAACCCUGACGCAGCGACGCCGCGUGAGCGAAGAAGGCCUUAGGGUCGUAAAGCUCUGUUUUAAGGGACGAAUAUCUUCAGUAGUAACUGACUGAGGAAUGACGGUACCUUAAGAGAAAGCCCCGGCUAACUACGUGCCAGCAGCCGCGGUAAGACGUAGGGGGCGAGCGUUGUCCGGAAUUACUGGGCGUAAAGAGCACGUAGGCGGGAUUUUAAGUCAGGUGUGAAAGACCGUGGCUCAACCACGGGGUUGCACAUGAAACUGGAAUUCUUGAGGGCAGGAGAGGAAAGUGGAAUUCCUGGUGUAGCGGUGAAAUGCGUAAAAAUCAGGAGGAACACCGGUGGCGAAGGCGACUUUCUG
rnacentral:rRNA from 1 species